rnacentral:piRNA from 1 species
UGCGUUCACCGUCCCCUCGAUGGCAC